rnacentral:rRNA from 1 species
UUUCGACGGUACUGUAUUGGACUACCGUGGCAGUGACGGGUAACGGGGAAUUAGGGUUCGAUUCCGGAGAGGGAGCCUGAGAAACGGCUACCACAUCUAAGGAAGGCAGCAGGCGCGCAAAUUACCCAAUCCUGACUCAGGGAGGUAGUGACAAGAAAUAACAACACUGGAAAUUAUAUUUCUAGUGAUUGGAAUGAUGGGAAUCCAAACCCCUUUCAGAGUAACAAUUGGAGGGCAAGUCUGGUGCCAGCAGCCGCGGUAAUUCCAGCUCCAAUAGCGUAUAUUAAAGUUGUUGCAGUUAAAAAGCUCGUAGUUGGAUAUCUGCUGGGAGCAGCCAGUCCGCCUUAACGGGUGUGCACUUGGUGAAUUCUGGCAUCCUCCUGAUUGGUGUCAUCAUCACUUCAUUGUGUUGGUGGCAGCUGUCAGGACUGUUACUUUGAGAAAAUUAGAGUGUUUCAAGC